UUUCCCAGUCCUUCCAGCAAGCAGAGACACAGAAUUGGCUGAGCAGAAUCACAGCUGAGAGUUCUACAAAACUACUGGCUGAAGGGAUGACAGCUUAGUACAAAACAGAGUUUGAGUGAAGCAUUGUCAAAAGGGAGAAAAAUGAAAUUCUGCCAUCUCAAGUGCAAAACUCCUUGAAAUUUC
rnacentral:lncRNA from 12 species